rnacentral:rRNA from 1 species
CCUACGGGAGGCAGCAGUGAGGAAUAUUGGUCAAUGGGCGAGAGCCUGAACCAGCCAAGUCGCGUGAGGGAAGACGGUCCUAUGGAUUGUAAACCUCUUUUGCCGGGGAGCAAAAAGCGGUACGCGUACCGCAUCGAGAGUACCCGGAGAAAAAGCAUCGGCUAACUCCGUGCCAGCAGCCGCGGUAAUACGGAGGAUGCGAGCGUUAUCCGGAUUUAUUGGGUUUAAAGGCUGCGCAGGCGGCGAGUUAAGUCAGCGGUAAAAUUUCGGGGCUCAACCCCGACAAGCCGUUGAAACUGGCGUGCUAGAGUGUGCGAGAGGUAUGCGGAAUGCGUGGUGUAGCGGUGAAAUGCAUAGAUAUCACGCAGAACUCCGAUUGCGAAGGCAGCAUACCGGCGCCCAACUGACGCUCAGGCACGAAAGCGUGGGUAUCGAACAGGAUUAGAUACCCGGGUAGUC